AUGAUAUUUUGACUUUACUCAUUACCAUUACAAUUCUAGCUAGGUCUAGAAACAUCCAUCUUCUUCAUCAUUGUACCAUUCUUCAUUCUAUAUCAGUACGAGUCUCUUUGUAGGACCAAGGGAAUUUCAAAUAACUGGUAAUAUGAAUUGUAAAUAAAUUACUACAGAGAGAAGGAGGAGACUGAAGAGCCUCUUUCGGAAGAUGUUAAUAUGGAUAAUGUUGAGGAUUUGAGGACUUCAAAGCAAAUUGUCAUUUAUAUUGAGCAUAAUUCCAUGUCAGAUUUUACUUCUAGCUUGCUUCGGGGAUUUCUUCAUCAGAGAAAACUUCGUGAUAACUGUUUUAAUCCAUUUGAAGCAUUGGCGAUGAAAUAAUUAUAUACGGGUAUACAGACAUGAAUAUGACUUUUGAUGAUGAUAUAGUGGCAGUUGAGCUUUUGCCUCAAGAACAGUGGCACGAGGAAAAGUCUUUGGCAUUAGAUGAUGAAGGUUAAGGAAAGGCCUGCAAGGCCGUAUGCCCAUGGGAUGGGGCAGGACUCUUCAAAAAAUGUGUGCAUCUAUCCAGAAACAUAGGACCUUGGCUUACCAAUGGAUAAAUGCAAGCUUUAGUAAUUAAUCUUGUUAUUGAGCCUAGACAAGUAUUGACAAAGCGGCCAACACCGAAUUAAGUGUUUAUGUACGGGAUUUGAGUUGAUAAAUAAAGAAUAGUGAGAGCAAAAGAGGGUUAUGCAAGUUGUUGAGAAAAAUGUCUACCCUCUCAUCCCCUUCUAUGAGUUCUACUUCUAAUCUCCUUUCUUCUACUUGUGUUCCUCAAUUUCUAUUUAGUUUUUAAAUUCCUUUGUAAUUCUAAUUACGAGUUAGUGAAACAGAUUUGUCGGUUGUUUGAAUUUGAAUUGAGUUGGUCUUGUUAUCGGGUUUGUUACAUCUUUUA